GAUGAACGCUGGCGGCGUGCUUAACACAUGCAAGUCGAACGAAGCAUUUGUGUCAGAUUUUUUCGGAAUGCAAAUGCUUAUGUAAGAGUGGCGGAAGGGGGAGUAAAGCGUGGGUUAACUGCCUUGUACUGGGGGAUAGAAGCGGGAAAAGGCUGGUAAUACCGCAUAAGCGGACAGUGUUUCAUGACAUGGUGGGGAAAACUGCGGAGGUAUAAGAUGGAGCCGCGUUUGAUUAGCUAGUGGGAGAGAUAACAGCCCACCGAGGCGACGAUCAGUAGCCGGCGUGUGAGGGUGACCAGCGAGAUUGAGACUGAGACACGACCCAGACGGCUGCGGGAGGCAGCAGUGGGGAAUAUAUCAGAAUGGAGGAAACGCUGAUGCGCCGACGCCGGGUGGAUGAAGAAGUAAUUCUUUAUGUAAUGCUCUAUCAGCAGAGAAUUUAGUGACGGUACCUGGCGAAGAAGCUCCGGCUAAAUACGUG
rnacentral:rRNA from 1 species